rnacentral:rRNA from 1 species
CAGUAGCCGCGGGAAUACAGAGGGUGCGAGCGUUAAUCGGAUUUACUGGGCGUAAAGCGUGCGUAGGCGGCUUUUUAAGUCGGAUGUGAAAUCCCUGAGCUUAACUUAGGAAUUGCAUUCGAUACUGGGAAGCUAGAGUAUGGGAGAGGAUGGUAGAAUUCCAGGUGUAGCGGUAAAAUGCGUAGAGAUCUGGAGGAAUACCGAUGGCGAAGGCAGCCAUCUGGCCUAAUACUGACGCUGAGGUACGAAAGCAUGGGGAGCAAACAGGAUUAGAUACCCCUGUAGUCCCUGUCUCUUAUAC